rnacentral:rRNA from 1 species
UACGUAGGGUGCGAGCGUUGUCCGGAAUUAUUGGGCGUAAAGGGCUCGUAGGCGGUCUGUCACGUCGAAAGUGAAAACUCAGGGCUCAACCCUGAGCCUGCUUCCGAUACGGGCAGACUAGAGGUAUGCAGGGGAGAAUGGAAUUCCUGGUGUAGCGGUGAAAUGCGCAGAUAUCAGGAGGAACACCAGUGGCGAAGGCGGUUCUCUGGGCAUCACCUGACGCUGAGGAGCGAAAGUGUGGGGAGCGAACAGG